GGCGAACGGGUGCGAAAACACAGUGAGCUACAUGCCCAAGACUGGGACACCGAGGAAACUCGGACUAAUACCGGAUUGCCCUCACCGGGUCGCAUGGUCUGGUGAGGAAAUGGAUUCCGCUUUGGGAUGGGCUCUGCUGGUCUAUCAGCUUGUUGGUGGGGUAACGGCCUACCAAGGCGACGACGGAUAGGCUGGUCUGAUGAGGACGGAUCAGCCACACUGGGACUGAGACACGGUCCAGACCUCAUACGGGAGGCAGCAGUGGGGAAUCUUGCGCAAUGGGGGAAACCCUGACGCAGCGACGCCGCGUGCGGGAUGAAGGCCUUCGGGUUGUAAACCGCUUUCAGCAGGGACGAAAAUUGACGGUACCUGCCAGAAGAACGGCCCGGACAACUACGUGCCA
rnacentral:rRNA from 1 species